ensembl:lncRNA
UGUGUGUGUGUGUGUGUGUGUGUAUGCUUGUGUGACUGUGUGUCUAUGUGUGUGUUUUCCCCCUUAGAUUACAGUAUAUGUUUCAUCCAGUCAUAGCCCCUUCAAAUGGUUCAAAGGGUUUCUGAAAAAUAUUCAGAAGGAGCUCAGAGAGAUGUUUCUUUGGUCCUCUACCAGAAAGAGAAGAGAGUGAGAGUGUGUGUGUGACUUUGCGUACGUCUGUGUGUGUGUGACUUUGUGCGCGCGUGUGUGUGUGUGUGUGUGUGUGUGUACACGCGCAUGUGUGUGUCAGAGAGAGGUUGUUUGACAGGCUCUGCUUUGAUCUGGCCUAGACUGACCUUACAUAAUCCAGCUCUUUCCUCAGAUGGGCUAACAGCACACAUCACUCAUACUGCCUCAGCUCUCAACUCAUCUACAACCACACAUCAACCACCCUACUUCAAACUAAACCCAUCUACAACCACCCUACUUCAAACUAAACCCAUCUACAACCACACAUCAACCACCCUACUUCAAACUCAACUCAUCUACAACUACACAUCAACCACCCUACUUUAGCUCUCAACCCAUCUACAACCACACAUCAACAACCCUACUUCAAAUCUCAACCCACCUACAACUACACAUCAACCACCCUACUUCAAACUCAACCCAUCUACAACCACACAUCAGUCACGCUACUACAGCUCUCAACGCAACUACAACCACACAUCAUAAUUUGAGGUCACUUGAAGCACAUUCUAAUAAUGCUUUAUACUACAUCUUAAUCCUAUUCAUAGCAGCUUAAAGAAGCAGCCAGAGGGCAAUAGAGAAUAAGCCACAACUCAGUUCCAUUGGAAUUCAGGAGUUAGACUGAAAAAUGGCGGUUAUUCUUCAGUUGGACUUGCAAGUCUCUCCCUGAAUUAGCUGAGUCUAAAUGGAGUUGACCCCAACCCUGGUUUCUGAGCCCUCCUCGUUAUUCCUAGUACCACAGUGGGAAUAGCCUGCUCAUUGACGCAUAGGAAGCUGUCUUGUCUCCACACAACCUGACACAGAAUAUUAUCCAGCAGCGAUGAUGGGGUUUUAAAGGCGUGUUAUUAAAGGCGUGCUCAUCCCCACGUGCCCUCUAUCUGCUAAUUAGACCUGCUUUGUCUAUUUGAUUGGCUAAUGGCUAAUUGCAUUCUGGUGCUUCUGUGUACAUUAUGUAAUGACUUCACGCUCUAAUGAGAUUGGCUAACAGGCAGGAGGAGGACGACGCCCCUAAACACUGAUCUGAUGUCAGGUAACUGCUUUCCCACGCAGGAUUUAGGGAGGGUCCUGUAAUCCUUGAUCUUUAAUUGCGCACAGACCCUUGGCCCUGAUAUAAGGUCAGUUGUGUGGUUUCCUCUCUAUUGGUGAAGGUUAGGUUUAGUAAGGAUCUGUACCUAUGAGAAGUUUGUAUCCACUCCCUGAACUCCACUUAGAGGUGCCUGGGAGAACAUUUUCCAAAUUGGUCAUACAUGUUAAAAAGGUGGAGGGAGAGAUGACAGUCUAUCAAAUUGUAGGCAUGGCCGCCAUUUAACAAAAAUGUAAUUGCAUUUACUAAAGUUUGGUUUGUACACUGCAAAUGAAAUGUGCUAUAUGUACUUUUUUUGCAUUGUAAUAUCAGAAAAGGAUCAUAUACAGCAUAUGGGCAGUCGUAGUGGGAUGACAGUGUUCUCAAUCUUUAUUCACCAGAAUUAUUUUGGAUGCAAACAAAAGGGCAUCUUAAAAUGAAGACUUUUGACAUUUUGUUUACUGGUCAACAAAAGCCAGACCCGGAUUAAAAUGGAAACACUGCACACCACCUCCCUUCUAUCAGUUGCAAUAAGGGACAUUCUCAUAUCCUCCUCAAACACAUCAAGCACAUCAGUGACCAAUUUCAGACUGGAGACUAGAUUAGAAUGCAAAAUUGUCGUUGCAUUUCACCUAGCUUCCACAUAGAGCAUACAUUUUACUUAUUGCUUCUUUAUAUUGUUCCUUGAAUUAUGCAAAUGGUAUAUUAUAAGUAUUAACUCAAUAGCAACAAUUUAUUAAUAUAUUUGGUGUGGCUUUAAGACAGAGUGGAGAAUUCCACACUGGUCCUUUCAGAGGCAUAGCAGAGGCCCAGUCUUGACUGCACACGCACUGAUGUGGGCUCAUGGUUAAAUAUUUCUGCGCAUGAGGACAAUACAAGAGAGUAGGAAUGACAUGGCUGGUGUCCAAACAAAAUCUCUUUAAAAAUCUAUUUUUUAAAGCCUCCGCUCCAGCGGUUUCCUCCAGGAACCUGUGAUCCUGUAUAGAUCUUAAAGGAUUGUUUGUUGAGUCCUUCUGAAGCCCCUGAGCCAACUGUCAUUAUUAAGGCCAACAAAAAAUAUUUGCCCUUAACUUCCAGUUUGUAUCACGCUAAUAUAUGGAAUUGUUUCACGAAGAUCCUGUAAUGGAUCAUUUAUUAAUUUGAUUUGGAGUUGUAGAACGCUUGUAUGUAUUUCAUUUAUAUAUAUUUUUAAUUGGUUUGAAAUUACAUUAAAAUUGGCAUCUACUGCUAAGCCU